rnacentral:rRNA from 1 species
AACGAACGCUGGCGGCAUGCCUAACACAUGCAAGUCGAACGAGACCUUCGGGUCUAGUGGCGCACGGGUGCGUAACGCGUGGGAACCUGCCCUUAGGUUCGGAAUAACUCCCCGACAGGGGUGCUAAUACCGGAUAAUGUCUUCGGACCAAAGAUUUAUCGCCUUUGGAUGGGCCCGCGUUGGAUUAGCUAGUUGGUAGGGUAAAAGCCUACCAAGGCGACGAUCCAUAGCUGGUCUGAGAGGAUGAUCAGCCACACUGGGACUGAGACACGGCCCAGACUCCUACGGGAGGCAGCAGUGGGGAAUAGUGGACAAUGGGCGAAAGCCUGAUCCAGCAAGGCCGCGUGAGUGAUGAAGGCCGUAGGGUUGUAAAGCUCUUUUACCCGGGAUGAUAAUGACAGUACCGGGAGAAUAAGCCCCGGCUAACUCCGUG